rnacentral:rRNA from 1 species
UACGUAGGGUGCGGGCGUUAAUCGGAAUUACUGGGCGUAAAGUGUGCGCAGGCGGCCGAGCAAGUCGAGUGUGAAAGCCCCGGGCUUAACUUGGGAAUUGCGCUCGAAACUACUUGGCUGGAGUGUGGCAGAGGAAGGUGGAAUUCCAGGUGUAGCGGUGAAAUGCGUAGAGAUCUGGAGGAACACCGAUGGCGAAGGCAGCCUUCUGGGCCAACACUGACGCUCAAACACGAAAGCUAGGGUGGCGAACGGG